UACGUAGGGUGCAAGCGUUAAUCGGAAUUACUGGGCGUAAAGCGUGCGCAGGCGGUUUUGUAAGACAGAUGUGAAAUGCCCGGGCUUAACCUGGGAACUGCAUUUGUGACUGCAUGGCUAGAGUUUGGCAGAGGGGGGUAGAAUUCCACGUGUAGCAGUGAAAUGCGUAGAUAUGUGGAGGAACACCGAUGGCGAAGGCAGCCCCCUGGGUCAAGACUGACGCUCAUGCACGAAAGCGUGGGGAGCAAACAGG
rnacentral:rRNA from 1 species